GACAGAGGUCCCGAGCGUUAGGCGGAAUCACUGGGCUUAAAGCGUGUGUAGGCGGAUGCCUAAGUACCUUGUGAAAUCCCACGGCUCACCCGUGGAACUGCUUGGUAUACUGGGUGUCUUGAGCCACUUAGGGGCUACCGGAACAAAUGGUGGAGCGGUGAAAUGCGUAGAUAUCAUUUGGAACGCCAAUGGUGAAAACAGGUAGCUGGGAGUGUGCUGACGCUGAGACACGAAAGCCAGGGGAGCAAACAGG
rnacentral:rRNA from 1 species